rnacentral:rRNA from 1 species
AGAUGGCGACCGGCGCACGGGUGAGUAACACGUAUCCAACCUGCCGAUAACUCGGGGAUAGCCUUUCGAAAGAAAGAUUAAUACCCGAUGGUAUAAUCAGACCGCAUGGUCUUGUUAUUAAAGAAUUUCGGUUAUCGAUGGGGAUGCGUUCCAUUAGAUAGUAGGCGGGGUAACGGCCCACCUAGUCAACGAUGGAUAGGGGUUCUGAGAGGAAGGUCCCCCACAUUGGAACUGAGACACGGUCCAA